AUGCUCUUCCUUCUCCUCCUCCAGCUCCUUGCCAUCACCACCCUCCCUUUCUCUGCCAACAACGCCACCCAACUAGUCUAUGACACGGAGGGCAAUGUGCUAAGUAGCAAGCAAAAUUACUACAUCCUCCCUGCUAAACGUGCGACCGGCGGGGGCCUCAGAGCUUUGCCUACUGGCCUGCGGUGUCUGCACUUCGUGUUCCAGGAGCGCAACGAGGCUGUCUUCGGCACCGCCUAG
rnacentral:rRNA from 1 species